rnacentral:rRNA from 1 species
GUUAGGAAUAUUGGACAAUGGGCGAAAGCCUGAUCUAGCCAUGCCGCGUGAACGAUGAAGGCCUUCGGGUUGUAAAGUUCUUUAGCCGAUGAUUAUAAUGACUGUAGUCGGAAAAUAAGCCCCGGCUAACUUCGUGCCAGCAGCCGCGGUAAUACGAAGGGGGCGAGCGUUAUUCGGAAUCACUGGGCGUAAAGCGUGCGUAGGCGGUUUUGUAAGUUAGGAGUGAAAGCACAGGGCUCAACCUUGGAAUUGCUCUUAAAACUGCAAGGCUCGAAUCUCGGAGAGGAUAGCGGAAUUUCCAGUGUAGCAGUGAAAUGCGUAGAUAUUGGAAGGAACACCAGUGGCGUAAGCGGCUAUCUGGACGAGUAUUGACGCUGAGGCACGAAAGCGUGGGGAUCAAACAGGAUUAGAAACCCCGGUAGUCC